rnacentral:rRNA from 1 species
AACGUAGGAGCCAAGCGUUAUCCGGAUUCACUGGGCGUAAAGCGCGCGUAGGCGGCUUUGCAAGUCGGGGGUGAAAUCCCCAGGCUUAACCUGGGAACUGCAUUCGAGACUGCAUUGCUAGAGUAUGGGAGAGGGAAGUGGAAUUUCCGGUGUAGCGGUGAAAUGCGUAGAUAUCGGAAGGAACAUCAGUGGCGAAAGCGACUUCCUGGACCAAUACUGACGCUCAUGUGCGAAAGCGUGGGGAGCAAACAGG